rnacentral:rRNA from 1 species
AGCAGCCGCGGUAAUUCCAGCUCCAAUAGCGUAUAUUAAAGUUGUUGCAGUUAAAAAGCUCGUAGUUGAAUUUCGGGAUCAAGUCGUCGGUCGUGCUCAAGUACGUACUGGCGUCAUUGAUUUCUCCCUUCUGACGAACCAUGAUGUCAUUAAUUUGGUGUUAUGGGAAAUCAGGACUGUUACUUUGAAAAAUUAGAGUGUUUAAAGCAGGCUCACGCUUGAAUACAUUAGCAUGGAAUAAUGAAAUAGGACGUUCGAUCCUAUUUUGUUGGUUUUAGGAUCAACGUAAUGAUUAAUAGGGAUAGUUGGGGGCAUUAGUAUUCAAUUGUCAGAGGUGAAAUUCUUGGAUUUAUUGAAGACUAACUACUGCGAAAGCAUUUGCCAAGGAUGUUUUCAUUAAUCAAGAACGAAAGUUAGGGGAUCGAAGACGAUCAGAUACCGUCGUAGUCUUAACCAUAAACUAUGCCGACUAGGGGUCGGAUGGAUGUUAAUUUUUAAUGACUCAUUCGGCUACCG